rnacentral:rRNA from 1 species
CCUACGGGGUGCAGCAGUGGGGAAUACUGCACAAUGGGCGCAAGCCUGAUGCAGCCAUGCCGCGUGUAUGAAGAAGGCCCUCGGGUUGUAAAGUACUUUCAGCGGGGAGGAAGGCGAUAAGGUUAAUAACCUUGUCGAUUGACGUUACCCGCAGAAGAAGCACCGGCUAACUCCGUGCCAGCAGCCGCGGUAAUACGGAGGGUGCAAGCGUUAAUCGGAAUUACUGGGCGUAAAGCGCACGCAGGCGGUCUGCCAAGUCGGAUGUGAAAUCCCCGGGCUCAACCUGGGAACUGCAUUCGAAACUGGCAGGCUAGAGUCUUGUAGAGGGGGGUAGAAUUCUAGGUGUAGCGGUGAAAUGCGUAGAGAUCUGGAGGAAUACCGGUGGCGAAGGCGGCCCCCUGGACAAAGACUGACGCUCAGGUGCGAAAGCGUGGGGAGCAAACAGGAUUAGAUACCCCGGUAGUC